ACUUUUGUUACCCGGAGGGUAAGCAUUAUAACUAUAUUGAUUUUAUGUAGAUCUUAAUUAUUUAACAUUUAUUGUUUUUCUGGUAAGAAAUCCAACAUUGUCAUGCAUUCUACGGCUGUUGGCCCAUUCAUGUCCUCUUGAUGUAUAUGCUGCUUGCCAGAGGUUAGCUUUCUGCAUACUUCAGCCCAUAAUAAUGAAAUCAGCAGUACUCACAUAUUUUGGGCAUAGAAUGCACCCAUAAAAUGUGACAAUGGGCAGCAGGUGUGAGCAUGCAUCCGGUCACCCCUCCCUGCCCUCCCUAACGCACCGACGUUUGAAAGUUCGUGUCAGUCUUAAGUCCUGAAUGGUUCUUAACCACCUGACUUUCUUACUGUGAAGAUGCCCAGUGUAAAAAAAAAAAAAAAGGCUUUGAUAAUUUGAUGGACAAAUUAUCGCUUUUUAAAAAAAACAUUCCAGUUUGGGUUCAAUUACCAGUGAACAGGAAUUUUACAGCUAAAAGUCUGAGGUUAAGAUUUCUUGAUUUCUGAAAGACUAACAAAUCAAUUCCGCUCCCUUCAGGCAAGGAAAGUGCUCAGACACACCUGUCCCUUCAGAAACUAAAUAGAGAAAAAUUCUGUUCCCCUUCAGCCAAAGAAAGUGCUCAGACACACCUGUCCCUCCAGAAAUUAAAUAGAGAAAAUCUGUUCCAUUUCUCUUUUCAUGAUUCUGUCAGGCGUCUGAACUCCAUUGCAUUUGAAAGGACCAUUCAGGUAAACAUUCUUCAGCUUGGAAGUGAAUUCAUCUUGGCAUGUGAAGCCCCACAGCCGCCUACAUCGUUCCCCACAUUGAUCUGGGGCUGUGUCCUCAGCAGGGACUCUGCACAGUUCUCAGUACUCCAUACCCCGGUUAGCUUGUGGCCCGGUUUCUCCAUGCCUGCCUUCCAUCCCAGGAGAUGAGAUGCAAGGGUUGAGCAUCUUUUCCCUCUCGGCUUUGCAGCGUUUGCCUCUGCACAGUGUGUAGUACUGGUGGUAGUUUUCCUGAGGAAAGAAAUUUCAGUUUUCAUCCCUUGAUUAUUACUGUUCAUCAUAAGCAGUAUGAGAGGUCACAGCUAUGCAACAUCUGAAUGUCCUCUUGAUGCUGUUUCCUGUUGUGUUUUGUGGGCUGUAGCUCUCCUCUCCUUGAGACAUUAACUGAGGCAAGAAGCCCAUGAAUACUUGGUAUAUGGAGGGAAGAUUGGUGUGAUGAGACCAUUAUCACAUGUUUUACCAAAUGCCAACUAGUCUUUUGUAGUUUUUCCUUCUUAAAUUUCUCUGAUAUGAGAAGCAAAACCCCAUGCUAGCUUAAAACAAUGUUUCUGAUUUUAAACAUUUGUAACAAUCUCCCCUCAUCUGAGAAAUAUGCCUUGAGAAAUACAGGAAAAGCAAGAGUGUUAAAACCACCUCAAUUCUGCAUACUACAUGUGUGUAUAUCUGUGUGUAUAUGUUGGGAGAUGACAGCAUAAAUUUUGCUUCUAAACCCCACUUCUACUAAGAUCAUGUUAUUUUAUAUAGCACUGUUGAUAAAUAGUAAACAUUUUUUUUCUUUUGACAUUUUAUUUCAUUGGUGAGAUAUCUGAUACAAGUUAUUUGGAAUAGCAAGAGAGGAGAACACCACUAUUCUAUAUAUUGAACAAUAUAUAAGCAGGAGUAGUUUUCCCAGGCCCAGAUUUAGCUUCUCAGCAUUGGCCUUCAUACUGAGCUUGUCAGAAAUCAUGCAGUAAUUAUAGAUUCCUAUUGUACACAUUUGUUUAUAAGAGGUUGGAUUGAUAUCCCCUAAAGUGUUAACUUUACCCAUGAACGGUAAUUCAGUUUGGAUGACCUAAUGAUAAACACACAUCUGAGACUUUCAAUGACUUCUGUAGACUUUAUUAUGAAGAAAGAUAUCCAACUGACUGAGUCUCAGAGGAGUUUCCUCUGUGGAGUUUCCCGUGGUAACUUACAGAAUUUGUUUCUUGAGUAAAAGAAUCAAUUCUGUAUGGAGUUUAAAUUGAAAUGUGAAUAGUUUUUGCUGUAUACAUUUUUAAAAUGGAAUACAGCACUAAAAUGAAAUAUGUAAAUGUUACAGCAUUUAAUGUGGGACUGAGUGUUUUCAAUGUAUGCAUUUACUGGGUCUGAUUAGGAUAAACGUUUGCUUCACUUUGACUGUCCCAGUCACUGGAAUCUUACGAUCUGCUUCUCAAACACUUAGUGUUUCAUUUCUAAAGCAAGAUGGGCUGUUGCUUUGGCAAAGGUAAGUGUUACUAUUCCUUGAAAAACAAUAUAAAUACUUGUUCCCAGUUAUUACAUUUCACUUUUCUUUUGUGACAAUUGGUCCCAGUGUAUCACCUGAGGGUGAGGCUUGGGUCCCUUACAGGAGACUACAGUCUACAUAGUAUGCUGUAAGCUAAGUUCCUGUGUGUCUUUGUAACAUUGUUGGUUAAAUGUAAUUAGCCAUUUAUUUGAAAACAGCACUUCAAAUAACCUGUCCAUCUUGCAUGAUUUGAGUAAAGAUCUAAAUUUUUUGCAAAACUU
rnacentral:lncRNA from 1 species